CUCUAGGUGCUCCGAGGGCCCGAGCCCGAGGCGCGAGUCCCCGCUGGGGACUCCGGCCGGAGCCAAGAGGGCUCUUGGCUUCCCUGCAGGAAAGAACUCAAGACAUGAGCCAAAGUUAACGUAGAAAGCAGCUUCCCUGAGCAGGGACGAUAAGCACGGAAACCCCUCCAUAGGCAGGACAAGGAGGACAGACCCCACCGUCGCCGGAGGUCGAGCUUAUAUCUGUAGCUUACAUGGAAAAUUGCUGAUAUGGGGAAGUGGAGAGUGGAGAAAAGUGGGAUUAACUUUAACCUACACAAGUGAUGUCACUUGGAUAAUGAUGCACCACAGAAAAGUAAAGAAUUGCAAACUUCUAGAAGCAGUGAUGAAAUAUAACCCUCAGUUGAAGAUGGUGACCUGGGUCACCAUGCGAUGUCUCCUCUCCUCUCUCCUUCCGAGUUCUUGGAUGUGGCCUACCAAAACAUCUAACAGCGUGGACGUAAAAGAUAAACUCCUGAUGACUACCUUUCUAUCAAGCUGUCUUCUCUGACACCAUACUGGCAAGGGAAGCGAGAUGCCACCUCAUUUCUGCCAGGUGGAGUGGAAGUUCGGAUUCUCCACUCAGUUUCUGUUGCUAGUCUGGCGAUGGGGAGAGGGAGGGGGGCCUCAUUCUGGUGGACUGGGCUGGCCGUUCAGGUUCCCUGCU